rnacentral:rRNA from 1 species
UAAUACGGAGGGUGCAAGCGUUGUCCGGAUUCAUUGGGUUUAAAGGGUGCGCAGGCGGGACAUUAAGUCAGGGGUGAAAGACGGUUGCUCAACAAUCGCAGUGCCUUUGAUACUGGUGUUCUUGGGUGACGGUGAGGUAGGCGGAAUGGGUGGUGUAGCGGUGAAAUGCAUAGAUACCACCCAGAACUCCGAUUGCGAAGGCAGCCUACUGGUCGUUAACCGACGCUCAGGCACGAAAGCGUGGGGAUCAAACAGGAUUAGAUACCCUGGUAGUCCACGCCGUAAACGAUGAUCACUCGCUGUGGGAAGGUAACUUUCCGCGGCUUAGCGAAAGCGUUAAGUGAUCCACCUGGGGAGUACGCUCGCAAGGGUG